CUAGCGGCGGACGGGUGAGUAACGCGUGAGCAAUCUGUCCCAGACAGGGGGAUAACAACUGGAAACAGUUGCUAAUACCGCAUAAGACCACGGCCUCGCAUGGGGCUGGGGUAAAAGUGGAAACACAGUUUGGGGUGAGCUCGCGUCCCAUUAGCUAGUUGGUGAGGUAACGGCCCACCAAGGCGACGAUGGGUAGCCGACCUGAGAGGGUGAUCGGCCACACUGGAACUGAGACACGGUCCAGACUCC
rnacentral:rRNA from 1 species